CCGACUAAACUACUUAAAAGCCAUCGCUGAUUCACCGCAGCAAGUCCGACGACCUCGACGCACCCAAAAACCGCGACCAAACCAACCCUCGUUUCGAUCACCGCUGAAUCCACCACCUUUUGCUCUCCUCCCAUCUCGAUUUCGCCAUUGUUUGGCCUCCCUCCGGAGGAAAGUGAUAGCGAUAGCGACAGCGAGCGGAACGGAUCUUGACGCGAAUGGCGUCGUCUUCUCGGCGGCUGAUGGCGAGGGCGGGGGGCCGGCCGUGCCCCCGCGUGUUCCUAAGCCGGAAAUCGUCCUCCCCCUACGCGCUCGCCCUCCUGAUGCUCCUGAUGCUCUCCCUCGUCGUCCUCCUCCUGCUCGCCCUCGGCAUUUUCUCCCUCCCCGUCAGCUCCGACUCCGGCCCCGAGUCCGAAGCCGACCUCCGCCACCACGCUAGGUCCCUCCGCGACGCGGAUGGUUUGGGGCAACGAGGGCACCAGUGGACGGAGGUCAUCUCGUGGGAACCCCGAGCAUUUGUCUACCACAAUUUCCUGUCCAAGGAAGAAUGUGAGUAUCUUAUUGAGCUCGCAAAACCUCAUAUGCAGAAGUCAUCAGUUGUUGAUAGUACUACUGGUAAGAGUAAAGACAGCAGGGUCCGAACAAGCACAGGCAUGUUUCUUCCAAGGGGACAAGAUAAAAUAAUCAGGGCUAUUGAGAAAAGGAUAUCAGAUUAUACCUUUAUCCCAGUUGAAAAUGGGGAGGGGCUUCAAGUGCUGCAUUAUGAAGUUGGACAAAAAUACGAACCUCACUUUGACUAUUUCCUUGAUGAAUUUAACACUAUGAACGGAGGUCAGCGGAUGGCUACUCUUCUAAUGUAUCUUUCGGAUGUUGAAGAAGGUGGCGAGACAAUUUUUCCAAAUGCAAAAAUAAACAGCAGUUCAUUACCAUUGUACAAUGAGUUAUCAGAGUGUGGAAAGAAAGGCAUUUCUGUUAGACCAAAGAUGGGAGAUGCACUGCUCUUCUGGAGCAUGAAGCCUGAUGCCACUCUAGACCCAUUAAGUUUACAUGGUGGAUGCCCUGUGAUCAGGGGAAAUAAGUGGUCUUCUACAAAGUGGAUGCAUGUCCAUGAGUAUAAAGUUUAAUGUAAGGUGCAGAGUAGCAAUUGGGUUGUGUGAAUUUCCCAUGUAUCGUUCUUAUAAUUUGUCAACUCCUAAUGGACCAAUUCAACAAAAAACUACUUUUUGGUAGUACUGAAAGUCAGUCAUCACCUAUGGAUCACAGAAUAAACAGCUUACUUACGACUUACAAUCAACAUCCUAUCGGCAAUUGUUUUUGAACAGCAUUGCCUGCUGGAAAUGUUGUAGAACAGUUUUGACACUUGGAAGCAGAAUGAUGUUAUCAUGGGAACGCGAUCGAGCCUAGGCACCUUCUUUACAAAACACUCCAUGUUGUAUUGAGAAAACGUUUAUUACCGUCUCAUAACUGAUGAAAAUAUGGUCACAGCCGGCUUGAUGUGGCGUGAUCAUGAUUCUGAUUUUGAUAUAAUGUGCAGCAGAGUGCUCUAUUGAAAGUUCUCAAGAAUAUCAUCUGUUUUACCUAUCAAGUUUAUUAGAUCAAU